UAUUGACAUUUAGGUUUAGUUCAGUUUGUCUAUCUUCCUCCCUCAAGUAGGAGGGAGGCGAAGACACACCCAACUUGCCAAUAAUAGAUCAAUGAGCCUGUCCUGACAAAGGCUUGGUAAAGAUGUUGGCAAUUUGGAGACGCGAAGGAAGAUAAGACAGAGAAAUAAUGCCGGCGAGAAACUGUUGUCGGACAAAAUGGCAAUCCAGCUCCAUGUGCUUAGUACGCUCAUGAAAUACUAGAUUCUUUGCAAUGUGAAUCGCCGCUUGGCUAUCAGAGUGAAGAGUCACUGGCAAAGAUGGCGUAAUAGACAAAUCUUCAAAUAAUCGAACCAACUAGGUAAUUUCUGCUACUACCCUUCUCAUCGAACGAUAUUCUGCUUCAGCGGACGAUAAAGAAACUAAGGUUGUUUCUUUGACUUCUAGGAAAUCGGUGAACCCCCAAAAUUGAUGUAGAAUCCACUGAUUGAAUGACGUGAUUCUGGGCAAGAACCCCAAUCGGAAUUGCAAAAGGCAACAAGAGGCAAAGAUGGAACGGAAUUCAUGAAAAUCCCCAAACUUGGGUCCACAAGAAGAUACCUCAAACAAUGAAAAGCUGCAUCCAAAUGAGGUUGUCGAGGAGCCUGCAUGUAUUGGCUCAGGUGCUGAACUGCGAAAGACAGAUCAUGAUGUGUAUGAAUUAGGAAAUUCAACUUUUCUAAGAGUCAGCGGAAGAAAAUAGGAUCUAAUAUCAGUUCUCAUUCAUCAGCCCUAAGCUUACGGGUGGGAUCAAUGGGCGAGGAAGUAGGCUUCAAAUCAAGACAUCCAAACUCAGUCAAUAUAAAGCGUUUCUGAGUCAAAAUUAAUCCCAGCGGAUCACGUAUAAUUUUCAUGCCUAAGAAAUAGUGAGUAUGCCCAAAUCCUUGAUUUUAAAUUCAGCAUGAAGAAAUUCCUUUAGCUGAACUUGUUCAAUUGGAUCAUCCCCUAUAAUUAGAAUGUCAUCCACAUAUACUGUGAUGAGAAUAAUCUUCCCAUCUGAUUUAAAGUUCAAAGCUGCAGUUAGCCUGACAUACCACUGUUUUGAGGCUUGCCGCAGUUCAUAAAGUGACUUCCUUAAAAGACAGACAUGAUUAGGGGAAGGUGGUGAUAUUCCUGGUGGAAACUUCAUAAACACUUCUUCCUGCAAAUCACCAUGCAGGAAGGCAUUAUUGACGUCUAGUUGAAAUAAAUCCCAUCCUUUCUUGACUGCUAUUGCAAGAUUACACCUAAUAAUUGUCAUCUUAACCACCGGUGAAAAAGUCUCCAUGAAAUAAAUUUCUUCUCUUUGUGUGUCUCCUCUAAUGACCAAACGAGCUUUGAACCUUUCUAAAGAACCAUCAGAUUUAUAUUUUACCUUGUAAAUUCAUUUACAAGGUAGAGCCCCUUCCCUGUAGGCAAAGGAAUAAAAUCGCAACUCUUAUUUGCCUCAAAUUCUUUAGCCAUAGCCUCCUACCAACCUGGGUGAAGUGAUACUUAAGAGUAGAAUAUUGGCUCAGAUAUAUAUGAAAUAGAUUUGAGCAUGAUUUGAUUUGUGGGAGAAAGAGCACAAAAAGGCAAUACAAUUGAUUUAAUAGGUGCAAAGAAACAAGAAUCAGUAAGGUUAGUAAGAAAAACAUAAUUGCAUACAUAAUUAUUAAGAUAAACAUGGGGUCUUAUUUGUUCUGAUAAAUUUUCUGAUUUCAGGUAACAGAAGACAAACAAUAUUCAGAAGAGGUGAAUGAGAAUGAGUAAUUGAGAUAUGUGACGUAGGAUAGAUAAGAGAACUUCUAGCAAAUGGUAUUGGUGACUGGGAGUAGAUAGUUGAAAGUGGUGAAUAAGAACCAUGCAUGGUGAACCCCUAGCAAUAGAGUCAUGGUUGGAAAAAGUGGUAGUAGGUGAAGAAGGAAACUCAGAAAUAGGAACUCCAUGCUGAGAAGGCAAUGUAGGAAAAAGAGGUUGAUUUCUCACUUUAGAAAAAAAAGGAAAAAUGAAUUCAUGAAAUUUAACAUCACUAGAAACAAAAAGUUUCAUGUUUUGUAAAUUUAAAAACUUGUAACCCUUCUUCCCAAAAGAAUAUAAAGACACAAGGGACUGACCUUGGGUCAAGUUUACUUAUGUGAUGUGGUAAAGUGCUAGCAUAGACAAGGCAACCAAAACUCUUAAGAGAGUGAUACUGUAACACCCAGGAAAAUUUUGAAGAAUUUAAGUGUAAAGUCCGGUAAAAUUUGCAAAGAAAAUAUUGUUUCAUGGUGCCGGACCUUUUGGGUUGAACAAUGCACGGAAAAGUAAAGAAAUAUUUUUGGCGGAAAAGUGUAUUUCUACGGUCCAUUAUGCGACCGCAGAAUCACUCUGCGGACCGCAUAAUGGCCGCAAAGUGAGGCAGUUAAUUGGGUCAGUUGAAAGCAAUUAUGCGGUCGACUAUGCGACCGCAUAACUGUUAUGCGAUGUACUAUGCGACCGCAGAACAGUUAUGUGGACCGCAUAGUGACCGCAGACUCAGGCAGAUUUUUGGUCAUUUUGGACACCAAUUAUGCGACCGAUAUGCGGUCGCAUAUGCAACCGCAGAACCUGUUCCGGAGCUUCAUUUUUGAAUUUUUAAAACCCGACCCUAUUUCGUUAAAUACACUCUUUGGGUUAUUUUUGAGGUAUAAUAUGAUAUUUUAGAGUGAGAGAGAGUGCCCUAGAGUGAGAAGGUAUUCCUCAAUAAUUGAUUCUUCAAUUCUUGCUCAAGUUUUGGAAGAUUAAGGAGGGAAACUCACUAGGUCUUCAUCCUAGAGGUAAGAUUCUAUACCCUAACCCUCAAUUUCAAAUUUUGUCUAGAAAUGGGCAAUAAGCAAGAUAAUUUCUGGGCAAGAGGGUUAUUUAUUUUACAUGCAUGUGUUAUCAAAGGGUGUAGAAAGAUUGUUGAGCUAAAAAUGGUAAAGAUUGGGUUGUGGGAUGAUGGAAUCCUCCAUAAAAGGACCUUGAACCUUAAUCCACACUUAGUGUUUGACGAAAUGCUAAAAUAAGCUGAGACCAUGAAUAUCUUCCUAAUUAUGGUUCAAUUUUGUUAUGUCUCAAAUAGAUUGGGAUUGCUAAAAUUUCUGGAAUAUUAUAGUAAUUUAAGAAAAGCUCAAUUAAGGUAUGUUGGCUAAAUUUUCUCUCUUGGAAUUGAAUUCCAUAAUAUUUAUGUGAGUUUCAAAGUAUGGGUUGGGUAUUAAAAUGUGGUGGCUUGAAUCGUAUUUCAAAUGAAAGUUAGUAUGCCAAAUUGUGUGAGAAAAUCUCAAUAUUCUUAAGACUCUUAAUUGCUCAUAUGUGUACCUAAAUUCUUGAUUGGGAAUGUCUUAUUGUUUAUAACCUAUAAAGAUGGUUGGAAGUAAAAUCAGUAAAUUGAGAAUAUAAAGUGUGACCAACGUGCCAAUAGUGAAAGUUAUACUUGUGACCAAUGGUGCCAAUGAAAUGAAAUAAUGUGAGAAAGAUUAUGAAAUGAGUUUUGACUCAACUAUUUCAAAAUUGACUUCGACAAUAUAAUCGGCUAAAAUUUUAUGAACUCAAGUGAUGCCCAUAUGCGGUUGUUAUAGCUAAUGCUAUGCUUUAUAAGUAAUUUUCAAUGUGUUUUGCGUUCUUACAUAUUCGUGAGUGGAAAUUGUGUAUGAUUUUAUCUUGUACUUCAAUUGCCAAUCAUUUUACUCCAUUUAUUGGAAAGAAAUCGAUUGUGUUUAAAGCCUUCAUUACUAAUGAAUUUAAAGUUGUGAUUUCUGGAAUAUUCUAUUUGUUGAUAAUUAUGAUGAUGAUCUAUGAAAGGAAAGAAAUAAAAGUGUGGAAUAUGAAAUACGGCUAUUGCGCCAUGAACAAAGGAUCAUAUGAAUGGACAAGAGAUCCAAUGAAAUAAUAAUGGUGUAAGUUGUUGAAAGUACGGAUUAGGUGAUAUGUGGUGUGAAAGGUUAUGAGAUGUACGUAUUUGUACUUUUGUUUCCAAUGUGUUAUGAAACCCUAUGGACGGUCUAUGAAACGCAUAUGUAUAUUGUGUUAUGAAACCCUGUGGACGGUCUAUGAAACACAUAGGUAUAUUGUGUUAUGAAAUCCUGUGGACAGUCUAUGAAACGCAUAGGUACAUCAUGUUAUGAAGUACAUUGUGUUAUGAAAUCCUGUGGAUGGUCUAUAAAAUACAUAGGUACAUUGUGUUAUGAAAUCCUGUGGACGGUCUAUGAACGCAUAGGUACAUUGUGAUAUGAAAUCCUGUGGACGGUCUAUGAACGCAUAAGUACAUUGUGUUAUAAAAUUCAUUGUGAUAUGAAAUCCUGUGGACGGUCUAUGAAACGCAUAGGUGCAUUGUGUAUAAGAGGUAUAGAUGUGCGGUAUGAAUAAACACUAUGGACGGUCUAUGAAAUGCAUAAGUGUAUAAUAUGAUAUGUGAACACUAAGGACGGUCUAAUGAGUCACAUUAUUAAUGCAGGCAAUAGGUGCCCCUUUUGUUGUCUUUGUUUGUACAGGUUGUUUCAAUUACAUUAUAUUAUGUGUUCUACGUAUAGAUCAUAUGGGCAUUCUAUUUUGAAAGAGGAUUUCUAGCUAUACAUACUAGUGCUAUUCGACAGUACUAACGUCCCUUUUGUCGGGGGCACUGCAUCUUUAAUGGAUGCAGGUGAUUCUACAGCAGGUGACAUUGAUCAGUGAUAGCAGUACACUCCUUUCAGCUGAUUUGGUGAGCCCCACUUCAUUUCGAGAUCAUGUAUCUUUUGUUUCUCAUGUACUUUGUGGUUGAAGUAUAGCCGGGGCCUUGUUGCCGACAUUUCCAUAUUACUCUUCUGUUGUACUUAGAGGCUCCGUAGACAGGUUGUGGGUGAUAUUUGAUAUUGGGAAUUGGAUUAGAACUGUUGGUAUUUGGCAACAUAUUUUUCAUUAAAUCUAUAAACUCGUCCUAUUUUGGAAAUAUUGAAUGAUACUGUUAAUGGGAAUGAAAUGGAAGCGGUUAAUGAAAUCUCUUUAGUAUUUGAUUAACGGAGUACGUCUCCUCUUUAUUCACGAAUGAUUUUGGGUAGAAUGAAAUCUAACAGGCUUGCUCAGUCGGAUUCACUCGGUUGAGCUUCGGCCGCGCUUCUCGGUUUUGGGGCGUGACAGAUACGAAGGUGGAAUUCCAAAUAAAAUCUCGAAGUGGCUUUUGAGCUUAAGAACCUUGGAAGGGAACCUAUUGAUGAGAUAUGUGGCUAUUAGAAAAUAUUCUCCCCAAAAAAUAAUAGAAAGUUUUGAUUGAUAGAAUAGAGCCCUACAAGUCUCCAAAAGAUGCUUAUGUUUCCUCUCAACAACACCAUACACAAGUUGUUUGGUGUAUUAUACCUUGAGAGAAAAGAAAAUAUGAAGUCUGCAAGCUGUUUUCAAGCUCUAAAGCAUUGUCUAAUCUUAUUAUUUUUACUUUUUUGUUAUGUUGUCUUUCAACCAUGGCCAAAAUAUACUUGAGAAUCGUAAAAGCAUUGGAUUUGGUACUUAGGAGAAAAGUCCAAGUUGCUCUAUUGAAAUCAUCAAUAAAGAUCAAGAAAUAUUUGUAUCCAUCAUAUGUAGGUUCUUUAUAGGGACCCCAAGUGUCAAUGUGAAUUAGGUAAAAUAUUCCUUUAGUAGAAAUGGAACUGGAUUGGAAAGGUAGUUUGUCUUACCCUAUAUAUAUAUAUAUAUAUAUAUAUAUAUAUAUAUAUAUAUAUAUAUAUAUAUAUAUAUAUCUCANNNNNNNNNNNNNNNNNNNNNNNNNNNNNNNNNNNNNNNNNNNNNNNNNNNNNNNNNNNNNNNNNNNNNNNNNNNNNNNNNNNNNNNNNNNNNNNNNNNNNNNNNNNNNNNNNNNNNNNNNNNNNNNNNNNNNNNNNNNNNNNNNNNNNNNNNNNNNNNNNNNNNNNNNNNNNNNNNNNNNNNNNNNNNNNNNNNNNNNNNNNNNNNNNNNNNNNNNNNNNNNNNNNNNNNNNNNNNNNNNNNNNNNNNNNNNNNNNNNNNNNNNNNNNNNNNNNNNNNNNNNNNNNNNNNNNNNNNNNNNNNNNNNNNNNNNNNNNNNNNNNNNNNNNNNNNNNNNNNNNNNNNNNNNNNNNNNNNNNNNNNNNAAAGUAGAAGAAGGCAGACAAGAAAUGGUAGAAAUAUUUCUCAUAUUAGCAAAAGGCAAAUGCCCCAAUCGAUUGUGCCAUAGGCUUACAUCAUUUGAAAUAACUGCUAAACAUAAAACCGGAUCUAAAGAUUGAUUACUAGUUCUAUUACAGUUGAAAAGAAAUGGACCGAAGUCAUUGAUUCUACUAGAUAGACUGGCACUAGGCUUGAUAGAGUGGAGUAGAUAUAUCACUUUCUUUUGUUUACAAGAACCACUGGCAUGUUCAUUGAAGGGGCCUGCAAGAUUGCACCAAAAGCAGAAAAAAUGAGCAAAGAGUAAGCCUACUGACAGAACCUGUGAACUGAUAAAGAUUAUAUUUGAAACUAGGAAGAUAUAACACAUUGGACAUAAGACAAUUAGGCAGGAUAUACUCACUGCUAGCUUGUGUGACCAUGACUCUUUGAGAAUUAGGCAAGUUGACAACAACGGGUUUAGUAAGAGUUCUAAAAUAUAUUAAAAGACUAAAAUCAUAGGUCAUAUGUUCUGAAGCACCUGUACCUAAUAUCCAAAUAACUAAGUGUGAAGAAGGAGAUAGGCAAUGUUUAUGUAUAACACCACAAUUGGUAGUGAUAUUGACCUUAGAGUUCAUCUCUCCAUGAGGUGCAAAUUUUACCUGUUGGAGCAGCUGGCAUAGAUUGUUAUACUGCUUGUAAGUGUUGUUUUUUUCCUGUUGUGUUGAAUGAUAGAUUUACACCAUCAUCUGUUGUGACUGCUGCGUUUUCAUGAACACCAUUUCCUUUUUUUAAACUUCUUGUUCUUGGUAAAUUUGAAAUCUGAUGGGAGUCUAAUAAUCCUAUAGCACCUUUAAGCAGUAUGUCCUGGCUUUUUACAGUAGGAACAUAUGAGAUUGUUCCUCUUUCCUUCAAAGUGUCCUUUCUUCUCUAUGUUAGGUAGCCUCUGACCACCAUACUGUGGUUUUGCAGCCAUUAAAGCAGUUUCAAUAGGGUGCUGAGCAACCUAUAUUUUCCUUUGUUUCUCAUCCUGAAUCAGGAGUGAAUAAGCAUGGUUGAUGCUAGGCAAAGGAGAUGCCAUCAAAAUAUUUCUCUUUACACCUAAGUAGGUCUCAUUCAGUCCCAUAAGAAAUUGAAUGAGCCUGUCAUCUUGAUGAUAUUUGAGGAUCCUGCUCUUCCCUCCACAGAUGCAGCCACAAGUACAAUGAAUGCAUGUAUCAAGACUGUCCAACUCAUCCCAAAUUUUUUUCACCUUGGUAUAGUAACCUGCUAUGUCUGAACUGCCUAUGGACUAAAUCACUGAGUUCGUUUUGCAGAUGAUAGAGCAUAGCAUCAUUGCUUUGCCCAAAUCUAUCUUCUAACUCCUUCCAGAUAUCUCUAGCAGUUUUGGAGUAGUAGUACACUUUCAGCUAUUUAUUUCAAAAGAGAACUGAGCAACCAGGAAAUGACCAUGUCAUUAUAUCUAUUCCAGGCUCUAAAAUAUGGAGAAUAUCUGAGUGGUUCAAUGAUGGAUCCAUCGAUGAAUCCUAACUUAUUUUUGACUGCAAGUAUUUGGAAGACAGCCUUUCGUCAACCUCCAUAGCUUUUACCAUCAAAGAUAGAAUUGACAAGAAUCAUUCCAGGUAAAUCGGAGGGAUGAAGUUAAAAAGGGUGUGUUGAGUCGUUGUUGACAAUGGUUUGGGAUGCUUGAUUGAUUGAUGGAGAAUCACCUAUAGAGGAGAUGACUGGAUAUGUAAUCGUCAUUGGAGAGAAAGGCUAAAAAAGAACUUGAAGAAGAAAAACAGUGUGGAUCGAGUAAUUAAAUCUCUGAUACCAUAUUAAAAUUUAGAGAAGUUUUGUAUGAAAUUUUCUUCUUGUGUAUUUUAUCAGCAAACUGUACACCUAUAUAUACAAAUCUAAGAAUAAAAAUCUGUUUUGCA
rnacentral:lncRNA from 1 species